UAGGGAAUCUUCGGCAAUGGACGAAAGUCUGACCGAGCAACGCCGCGUGAGUGAAGAAGGUUUUCGGAUCGUAAAACUCUGUUGUUAGAGAAGAACAAGGACGUUAGUAACUGAACGUCCCCUGACGGUAUCUAACCAGACAGCCACGGCUAACUACGUGCCAGCAGCCGCGGUAAUACGUAGGUGGCAAGCGUUGUCCGGAUUUAUUGGGCGUAAAGCGAGCGCAGGCGGUUUCUUAAGUCUGAUGUGAAAGCCCCCGGCUCAACCGGGGAGGGUCAUUGGAAACUGGGAGACUUGAGUGCAGAAGAGGGGAGUGGAAUUCCAUGUGUAGCGGUGAAAUGCGUAGAUAUAUGGAGGAACACCAGUGGCGAAGGCGGCUCUCUGGUCUGUAACUGACGCUGAGGCUCGAAAGCGUGGGGAGCAAACAGG
rnacentral:rRNA from 1 species